rnacentral:rRNA from 1 species
CCCGCUGAACUUAAGCAUAUCAAUAAGCGGAGGAAAAGAAACUAACAAGGAUUCCCCUAGUAACUGCGAGUGAAGCGGGAAAAGCUCAAAUUUGAAAUCUGGCGUCUCCGGCGUCCGAGUUGUAUUCUGGAGAAGCGUUUUCCGUGCUGGACCGUGUACAAGUCCCUUGGAACAGGGCGUCAUAGAGGGUGAGAAUCCCGUCUUUGACACGGACUGCCAGUGCUCUGCGAUGCGCUCUCGAAGAGUCGAGUUGUUUGGGAAUGCAGCUCAAAACGGGUGGUAAAUUCCAUCUAAAGCUAAAUAUUGGCGAGAGACCGAUAGCGAACAAGUACCGUGAGGGAAAGAUGAAAAGCACUUUGGAAAGAGAGUGAAACAGUACGUGAAAUUGUUGAAAGGGAAACGCUUGUAGUCAGUCGCGUCUUCUGGAACUCAGCCUUGCUUCUGCUCGGUGCACUUUCCAGUUUGACGGGUCAGCAUCGGUUUCGGUGGGGCAGACAAAGGCGGAGGGAAGGUGGCCGCUCCGGCGGUGUUAUAGCCCUCCGUUGUACGUGCCCGCUGGGACCGAGGAAUCCGGCUCGCGCCUGGGAUGCUGGCGUAAUGGCUCUAAGCGACCCGUCUUGAAACACGG